CGCGUGUGUAGCGAUGAUCUCGCAGCAUAACCCUUUAUCCCAGCUAAUAUUGUGAUUCUUUGCGAAUACAGAGAGGCUUCAUGCACAAUAUAAUCCAUCCAAGACUCGCACUCCUCGUCGGGUCGGUCAGAGCUGGUGAGUACGACAGACUGCUCUUCUCCUCUGCUGCCUGCCUGGUAGUGGGAGAAGAAGAAGAAAUCAGGUUCUGCCUGCUGGAGGAAGCUCAAGGCCUUCAUCUCAACAUAUUACUUCACAUUUUAGAGAACAACCAUCGUCAUUCCGUUGCUCCAUCCAUCCAUCCACAAAUCCAGCACAGGCUGGUUCAACUGUUGACUUGACCUUUCGAUAAGAUUGGUUUCUUACCCUGUCGAGCAGUGAAUAAUUACUAUCUCUCAUUUAAAUUCAGUAUUCAGUUGAUUAAAUUUGAAAGAUAUCGACGACUCUUCUGAAGAGCAACAAAGGCGAACAACGUGGGAAUAGAGAUACACACCAUCCUCGUCGUCUUAAGUUGGGGUCCCUCUUCACAUAAAUCUGGUGUGAUAUUGCUGCUGCUGUGGGUGGAAUUGGAUUGAUGGUACGAUAGAGGACUGAAUCCAUAUCGUGCACAGACACAAGGAAUAAUAAUCUGCUCCCGUAUUAUAAUAAGUAUCGAACUGGAUCUGGAGUUGUUGGAUGGAUAGUUCGUUCAAUGUGAUUUCCAGCACGACAUGAGCUUCAGUCGAUAAGUUGUCCCGUCCACUCCCAGGCUGGUUCCGCGCUUCGUUAUCCACAACCAAUUUUGGUGACUGACCUUUGAGUCCCAUUCGAAGAGAUGGGUGUGGACGGCAACGCUAACAUGAUUCCGGCCGGAAGGAUCAACUUGGAUGAGCCACGAUGGGACCAGAGCACUUACAUGGGAAGAGCCAAGCACUUUUUCGUCACAACCAACCCUCUCAACCUCCUCUGCACAUCAGAUGAGUUGGAAAAAUCCAAGGACAUUGUCACCAGAUACAAGAAGGGGGAUAACAUUCCUGGCGCAACUGAGGAUGACAUUUGGAGAGCUAAGAAUGUUUACGAUUCAGCAUUUCAUCCCGACACUGGAGAGAAAAUGCUCUUAAUUGGCCGAAUGUCAGCCCAGGUGCCAUGCAAUAUGGCCAUCACGGGGAGCAUGCUCACAUUCUACAAAACAACGCCAGCCGUAGUAUUCUGGCAAUGGGUUAACCAGUCUUUUAACGCCAUUGUGAAUUAUUCUAAUCGGAGUGGAGACUCUCCUAUAACGAUCCCACAAUUAGGAACAUCUUACGUUUUAGCUACUGGAGGAGCAUUAGCAACUGCUCUAGGAUUAAACAGUUUAGUGAAAAAAGCUCCUGCGUUGGUUGGAAGAUUUGUGCCAUUUGCAGCUGUGGCUGCAGCGAAUUGUAUCAACAUUCCUUUAAUGAGGAUGAAAGAAGUAAAUGAAGGGAUACCAGUGGUCGACGAAAACGGUAACCGCAUUGGUGAUUCGAAAGUGGCAGCAAAAACAGGCAUCGGCGCCGUGACCUUUAGCCGGAUCAUGAUGGCCUCGCCCGGCAUGAUCUUUCCACCCAUCAUCAUGAACCAUCUGGAGAAAAAAGGCUUUCUCCGACGAUACCCAAUGGCCGGAGCCCCAUUGCAAAUUAUUCUGUGUGGUCUCUGCCUGACAUUUGCGACACCAAUGUGCUGCGCUUUGUUCCCGCAAAAGUCAUCCAUUUCUGUGUCAAGUUUGGAACCUGAGAUUCAGGAGAGAGUGAAACAACUGCCAAAUCCUCCACAAGUCCUUUACUACAACAAGGGAUUGUAAUUUUACUCUGAUAAUAAUCCAUGACUUCUGGAACUCUGAAACUUUCGCUUAACAACGGUGAUUUUGUUACAAACGUAGUAAAAAAUGUAUGUAGAUUGCCAUCUUACAAGGACGCCAUUAAUUAACAAAAAAAGUGGCUGGCAUAUUAUGAUUUAGUUAUUUCAAAGUACUUAUUAAAUAGAUAAGAUUCUUCCACAACAUACUACUAGCCUGAUAUUGUAGCUUCCUGGAUAUAGAUUUUUUUCCUCUAGCGGGAGACAGUGUUCCUACAUCGAUUGAUUAUUAUCACCCUGAACAAUAAGAUAGCUUUAACUUAGUAAAGUAAACUAAAUUAAUCGUUAAUGUACUGCCGUGCCACGGGAAGCUUCUUUGGUCAACCCAGUUGGCAAAGGAAUGCGACCCGUGGUCACGAGUGCUGAUCAGAAUGGUGCUCUUCGAUUAGUGUUCGUGAUCGUUAAAUGAAAAAAAUAACGUCACUUACUAUUACAAAUAAUCACUUUUAAUUAUAAGAUUGUGAAAUGGUUGAUAACUUGCACGUAGUAUCGAGUAUAAAGAAUAAGCAACUUCGACCUGGAACGAGUGAUCUAUGAAGAAUAGUGAGAAGAAUUAGUGUAGAGAAGCGUUGACGCUGACGUCGUAUGUAGCACAAUUAAUAAUGAUGAUAAGAAAUUAUAAAUACAUGACGAAAAAGCAAUGAUUAUUUGGUGAUAUAUCGUACAUAAUUAGUUGAGCUACUCGUAAACUUUCUAAUUUAAUUAGAGUGAGCAAUAUCGUUGGGCAGAGUAUCGAUCUUCAAGGAAUUGAUUGACUUGUUUAUUGAUGUGGAUGUAUCAUUGGCUGAAUUUAUAAUUUUAUUUGUGGAAAACUAGUCUACUACCCACAUCUAUGAUAAGAAAAUCUAAUGAUAUGAUGAAAAAUAUGAUAAUCAGUCCAUAUUAUAGCAAACAAUAGGAUAAGACAUCGAAAGAUCACUGCCGAUCAUGUUUUGUUAAACUUAAAAACAAAUAUGUUUGACAAGAGCAGCCUUUAUUUGAGAGUAAAGCCAUUUAUUCGUUUAAAUUACUUGAAUCGGUUGGUUAGGACAAGUGUUUCAUGAGAAAUUAUCCCAGCCCUUUUCAUCCACUCAAUUUUUAAAUUUAUUUAUAUGUAAAUUAAUUACUGUUAAAUUUAUCAGUCAUACAAUUUUAUUUUUAAGAAGAUUACAUAAUUGUGACUAAAUUUAUGUGAGGCAAUCAAUCAAAGAUGUCUCAUACAGGUGUAUAGCCUAAUUAAUUACUACUUAUUACAUGAUUUAUAUUAUUACGUAUCAUCUAAAACUCGACUAUUUCGAACCACCCCAAUCAUACAAGGACAAUAAAGUAACAAGUAUUGAAUAGGA